rnacentral:lncRNA from 1 species
UCUUCAGAAAACCACAGGGAAAAGGCACACUAGGCACUUGUAGAGUUUUUCCUGGAAUGACAUCCUGCGUACACAGGCACAUUUUAAAGUCAAGGAGCUGAAAGCUCAGUGUCUGAUGAGGUACCUGGGUCUCAGCACAGCUGCUCCAACUGGAAAGGCCUAAGAGCCAUAUACAGGCAAUAUGAAGGCUACAGUGUUCCUGUACAAGUUGAAACUUCUGAUUCCCAAACAAGCUGACUCUGUCUGGCAUGAAGGCAUCUGAACAAAAAUGAAAGCUUGCUAUCAUCAGCAUGAUGUUCUGAACUGGACUCAACAUAAGAGAACUUGAACAUGGCGGUACACACUUGCAAUGUGGUGAAGCAAACAGAUCCUUGUGGAUUGCUGGCUAGCCAGCCUUGCCAGCUUUGGAAGCUCUAAGACAAUGGAAGAUACUGUAUAAUUUAAAAGAAAAAAUCCAAAGUAGAUGCUUUCUGAAGACUAACAUCCAAGGUUGUCUUCUGCACUACAUGUACAUGUAUGUUUGAACAAUGCACCCAGGUGUAUAUGUGAGGAAAAAAACAUACACCCAUCAGACAACAUACACCUGUCAGGGAUGUAUGGUACAAAUUUAUGUAUAAUAUACAUAUAUAAAGCUAUUCUUAAGACAUGUUUAAAUAAAAUGAUAGAUUUACCCACAGGUACAUCAAUAGUAACAUGAAACAUACACAUGCUAGAGAGUUGAACAGUUUUGUAGUGAAUUUUCAAGCUUCCAUUGUAUGUUACUUGUAUGUGAGACAGGAAAUGGAAUAGUGGGGUGCAUCAGGUAUAAUGGGAUGCUUCAGGAAUAAUGAGGUGCUGCAGGUAACAGAAAAGGAAAGUCAAUAUAUGGAACUGUAAACUAAUCAAAUACACUCACAUAACUUGAUGUAACUUAUUUACUAUCUAUAAAUAAAGAUCUCAAUACAAGCAUUAUCUCAUGCGGUAGGGAACUUUAAUAUAAUAAAAGAUUUGAUCCACUAGUUUUAUAUAAAUUUAACAUUUUAUUUACUUAAUGGUGUAUUCUUCAAAAAUUCCAAGAAAAAUGUUACCAAGGAUAUGAAGAGAAAUGUACAAAUUUACCAUUGUACUGAAGGACUUUGCAUAAGUUUAUAUGUAAUAGAAGAAACAAAAAGAUACAUAAUUCAAUAAAAUAUUCAGAGAAGCUG